GGCGUACGGGUGCGUAACACGUGUGCAACCUACCUUUAUCUGGGGGAUAGCCUUUUGAAAGGAAGAUUAAUACCCCAUAAUAUAUUGAAUGGCAUCAUUUAAUAUUGAAAACUCCGGUGGAUAGAGAUGGGCACGCGCAAGAUUAGAUAGUUGGUGAGGUAACGGCUCACCAAGUCUGUGAUCUUUAGGGGUCCUGAGAGGGAGAUCCCCCACACUGGUACUGAGACACGGACCAGACUCCUACGGGAGGCAGCAGUGAGGAAUAUUGGACAAUGGGUGAAAGCCUGAUCCAGCCAUCCCGCGUGAAGGAUGACGGUCCUAUGGAUUGUAAACUUCUUUUGUACAGGGAUAAACCUACCCUCGUGAGGGUAGCUGAAGGUACUGUACGAAUAAGCACCGGCUAACUCCGUGCCAGCAGCCGCGGUAAUACGGAGGGUGCAAGCGUUAUCCGGAUUUAUUGGGUUUAAAGGGUCCGUAGGCGGACCUGUAAGUCAGUGGUGAAAUCUCAUAGCUUAAC
rnacentral:rRNA from 1 species